UAAUCUUACGUUAUCAGCUCUUAUUGGACACAUUGGCUGCCAGUUUAGCGGGGGGGGGGAGAGAAAACUCAGGCGCUCCAUUUUUAUUGGCCAGAAGUCUGUCAAUCACCUGGAGUGGGGGCGAGAACUCCGCCUGUGCCCCUUUGUGACUAGAUGAUCGGCCUGUCGAUCAGAGGAAAAAGGAAGAGGCGGGACAAGGCCCCAGGAAGCACCUUUUGACGGGAGGAACGAACUGCCUGUCAAAUAAAAAGAAGGGGAAAGGAGCAAGUUCGAAUGUUGUUGGCGGUAGAAAAGGCGCCGGGGAGGAGGGGCUAGAACCCCCAGCCUCGUCCCGCCCUCAGGGCCGAGGAGGAGGAGGCCACCAGCGAGAGCGCCUCUCCCAGCAUGCAGCGCGCCCGGCGGGCAGCGGUAUCUCCCGGCAUGCCCCGCUCUGCCCCGGCGCGCGGCCGAGGUGAGGCCUCCCCGCAGCGCUCCGCCGCCCCCGCAGGCAGCCGGGGCUGGGCCCGUCCGCCGCGCGGCCGGAAGCGGGAGUGGCGCUGGCGCUGCCCGCUCCUGCCGGCCGGGCUGGUUCCUCCGGCGGGGCAGCGCCUCCGUUGGCGCGAGUCCGGCCGCGGCCGCCGCCGCCCCGUCGGGGCCUGUCGGGCGGGCAGGGGCCUGAGGCCGCUCGCGCGUGGCUUCCUUACCAGGCCGCUUUUCUCCGCCGGCCGGGCCAGCGGGAGCCCAGUCGCUCCCCAGGUUCUGCUUCUGCGGCUCCUCGGCUGGUGCUCGCCGUUUCCUGCCGAUUCGGAGCAGCUGCCCGACCCCCAGCGUGGCCGGCCGCGCGCAGACGUGGACCUCGGUGCCUUGGCCGCUGGCGGCCACGAGGGUGAAGGGUUCUGCUGUGGUCGUUUCAACGGAACGUGUAAAAUGUCCCUAAACUCUCCGCUGAAUUGUUACAGCCUGGGGACCAUACCGCACUUCUUAAAGUGGUUCAAGACCUAGGGAUGUGAAGCAGCGUGUGGAAGCGAAUGACUCUUAUUAUUUAUUGAGAGACCUGUAACACACAGUUGUGGACUUUCCAAAUAUAAAAAAGUGCCAACUUCUUCCUUAAAAUUGAGGUACAGCUCUGCUCUUUUUCUGUUGGAGCCAUCCCGUUGCAAGGCCAGCCUCCGCUGGGAGAGUGGGAAAGGUGAUAUUUGGCAAGGGACUCCCAAGUUGAGAGAAUUUGUUUGGGAGGGUUAACGAAUGUAUUUGAUGCUAAGCUUCGAGGAAAACACUUUCAGGACUUUCCAGGAGCUGAAUUUAGAUUUCCUGAUGAUAGGCACCUUUUAGAAAUAAAUAUUGUCAGUGCCCACCAGUCCAGUAUCCCCACCAAGGGCUUGUGAUAUCAGCUCCUUUGCACAGUCAGAGCCAGAAUCAUUUUUUUUUCCAUGGGUCACAGCAGGAGGCAUCAUUGGUUUUAGUUUGGAACUAUUUUUAAUUGGGCUGAAACAACACUAACUGAGGAAGAGUAGAGUGCACAAACAGAGGGGAGAGCAAAGGUUUCUGCUGCAUUCCCCUCUCUCUUGCAGUGCUGGCUCAGAGGUGGACUUGGGUCCCAGAUACUUACUUAUCCAUUGAACUGUGCAUGCUUCGAGGGACAGCAGAAUGUGGGGUAUGCCACGAUCUGAUGCUGGACUCAUCUUACAAGUCUACAAUUUGGAAUGUUACAGACUCUAUGGCGUGCCAGGCCUCACAAAGGGGGAGGCAUUGUGCUGGAGCUGAACACAAAAGUAGCUGGGCCCCACAUACAUUUCUACUGCUUAGGAAACUAGCUAGUCCACAAGCAGAUGUCACGUGGGGCUGGCAACUGUCUAAGCUUUGGGAAAAGUUGCUGGGAUACUGUGCCUGGAACGGGGUGGGAGGGGGGACGUUUCUGGCUACUGGGAAAUCUAAGUUCACCUCCCACAUGGUGGGAACCACCUGACUUUCCUGACCUGCCCUUCUGACACCCCUGCCGCCAGCCCCAUCCACUCCUGGUUCCCAACUCCUCCCUCCAGCUGGGAAUUAACAGAGGAGAGGUAGGUUGCUCUGGUUGCUGAGUAACAGCCAGCAUGGAGGGUCCCCUCAGCUUGGGGUGCUCUGGUAGCUCACCUUGUUUGGGGGAGGAGAGGUACUACAGGACACUGAGGAUGAGUAUACUAAGUUUAAUGUAGGGAGGGGCACUGUAGGGGAAGGGAUGGAGGUCAGGAGUCCUUUGAGGGAGAGAGGCUAGAAAGUCAUUUGGUUGUCGGGGAAGGGUAAGGGAAGAUCACAUAUGAUAACUCCCUCCGGUAAUAAACACCUUCAGACUGACCCCCGACCUAACCUGCUCCCUACCUCAGCUACAAAGCCCCCCUGCAGUGCCAGGGAUAAGCACCUACACCUCGGAGCCUACCACCAUUUGCCAAACUCUCUCAAAUUUCCACAUCAGUAUUAGCCCCCAACCUAAAGCCAGUGCCGAAGCUGUCACAGCCUUACCUUGACUCCCCCCACUCUGUUGACAGUACUAAGGGAGCUUCCCUUCAGGAUUCUAGGCUGGUCCCCCCUACGUGAAAUAAAAAUGGCUUUCUAAUCUUG